rnacentral:tRNA from 1 species
GAGGGUAUAGCUCAGUGGCAUAGUGUGCAUUCAGCAUGCACAAAGUUUUGGGUUCAAUCCCCAGUACCUCCA